rnacentral:rRNA from 1 species
UACGUAGGGUGCGAGCGUUGUCCGGAAUUAUUGGGCGUAAAGAGCUCGUAGGCGGUCUGUCGCGUCGGCUGUGAAAACCCGGAGCUCAACUCCGGGCCUGCAGUCGAUACGGGCAGACUGGAGUUCGGCAGGGGAGAACGGAAUUCCUGGUGUAGCGGUGAAAUGCGCAGAUAUCAGGAGGAACACCGGUGGCGAAGGCGGUUCUCUGGGCAUGUCCUGACGCUGAGGAGCGAAAGUGUGGGGAGCGAACAGG